rnacentral:misc_RNA from 1 species
GAUAAAGAUCUGUUAAAAGAGGCGUCACCAUUGGAUUAGUCGGACCACUAAUAACCCCAAUUUUAGGCCCUCUUUGUUCUAAUUUCUUCUUCCCGUUAGCUACCACUGCAGACGCCAUGAUUAUUGUAAUUCUAUUGAUGGAAUUGAACACGAUAACAACAAUUCCUUUCCCGUUUAAUACUAAGUGAAGAAUUAUUAUUAUUAUUACUCUGAAUCUAACGACUGAGUUUCUGAUUCACAAACACUUCCCUG